rnacentral:rRNA from 1 species
GAUGAACGCUAGCGACAGGCCUAACACAUGCAAGUCGAGGGGUAGCAGGAUGUAGUAAUACAUUGCUGACGACCGGCGCACGGGUGAGUAACACGUAUGCAACCUACCUUCUACAGGGAGAUAGCCCGGAGAAAUUCGGAUUAAUACCCCAUAACACAGGGAUACCGCAUGGUAAUAUUUGUUAAAGAUUUAUCGGUAGAAGAUGGGCAUGCGUUCCAUUAGCCAGUUGGUGAGGUAACGGCUCACCAAAGCAACGAUGGAUAGGGGAACUGAGAGGUUUAUCCCCCACACUGGUACUGAGACACGGACCAGACUCCUACGGGAGGCAGCAGUGAGGAAUAUUGGUCAAUGGACGAGAGUCUGAACCAGCCAAGUCGCGUGAAGGAUGACGGCCCUACGGGUUGUAAACUUCUUUUGUAUGGGAGUAAAAAAGACUACGCGUAGUCUAUUGCAAGUACCAUACGAAUAAGCAUCGGCUAACUCCGUGCCAGCCGCCGCGGUAAAAC